UCAUAUUCACUGAGUGGUUUAAUAGACCAGGUCAUAUUCAUAUCCACUGAGGGGUUUAAUAGACCAGGUCAUAUUCACUGAGGGGUUUAAUAGACCAGGUCAUAUUCACUGAGGGGUUUAAUAGACCAGGUCAUAUUCACUGAGGGGUUUAAUAGACCAGGUCAUAUCCACUGAGGGGUUUAAUAGACCAGGUCAUAUUCACUGAGGGGUUUAAUAGACCAGGUCAUAUUCACUGAGGGGUUUAAUAGACCAGGUCAUAUCCACUGAGGGGUUUAAUAGACCAGGUCAUAUUCACUGAGGGGUUUAAUAGACCAGGUCAUAUUCAUAUUCACUGAGGGGUUUAAUAGACCAGGUCAUAUUCAUAUCCACUGAGGGGUUUAAUAGACCAGGUCAUAUUCACUGAGGGGUUUAAUAGACCAGGUCAUAUUCACUGAGGGGUUUAAUAGACCAGGUCAUAUUCACUGAGGGGUUUAAUAGACCAGGUCAUAUUCACUGAGGGGUUUAAUAGACCAGGUCAUAUUCACUGAGGGGUUUAAUAGACCAGGUCAUAUUCACUGAGUGGUUUAAUAGACCAGGUCA